GACGAACCGUGCGAACGUUGUUCGGAAUCACUGGGCUUAAAGGGCGCGUAGGCGGGCGGUCUCGUCGGGGGUGAAAUCCUGCCGCUCAACGGCAGAACUGCCCCCGAUACGGGCCGGCUCGAGGGAGGUAGGGGCCUGCGGAACUUCCGGUGGAGCGGUGAAAUGCGUAGAUAUCGGGAGGAACGCCGGUGGCGAAAGCGGCGGGCUGGACCCCUGCUGACGCUGAGGCGCGAAAGACAGGGGAGCGAACGGG
rnacentral:rRNA from 1 species